rnacentral:rRNA from 1 species
AUUGAACGCUGGCGGAAUGCUUUACACAUGCAAGUCGAACGGCAGCACGGACUUCGGUCUGGUGGCGAGUGGCGAACGGGUGAGUAAUGUAUCGGAACGUGCCCAGUCGUGGGGGAUAACGUAGUGAAAAUUACGCUAAUACCGCAUACGAUCUAUGGAUGGAAGCGGGGGAUCGCAAGACCUCGCGCGAUUGGAGCGGCCGAUAUCAGAUUAGGUAGUUGGUGGGGUAAAGGCCCACCAAGCCAACGAUCUGUAGCUGGUCUGAGAGGACGACCAGCCACACUGGAACGGAGAAACGGUCCAGACUCCUACGGGAGGCAGCAGUGGGGAAUUUUGGACAAUGGGCGAAAGCCUGAUCCAGCCAUUCCGCGUGCAGGAUGAAGGCCCUCGGGUUGUAAACUGCUUUUGUACAGAACGAAAAGGUUUCUACUAAUACUAGGAGCUCAUGACGGUACUGUAAGAAUAAGCACCGGCUAACUACGUGCCAGCCGCCGCCGUAA